rnacentral:rRNA from 1 species
GACGAACGCUGGCGGUGUGCUUAACACAUGCAAGUGGAGCGACGAACCAGAGCUUGCUCUGGGGCAGAGCCGCGAACGGGUGAGUAACACGUGGGUAACGUACCCCGAUUACCGGGACAACCCGAGGAAACUCGGGCUAAUACCGGAUGUGCUCGCAUCUCAUGAGAGUUGUGAGUAAAGGAAGCUUCGGCCUCCGAAUCGGGAGCGGCCCGCGGCCUAUUAGUUUGUUGGUGGGGUAAUGGCCUACCAAGACCGCGAUAGGUAGCUGGUCUGAGAGGACGAUCAGCCACACUGGGACUGAGACACGGCCCAGACUCCUACGGGAGGCAGCAGUGGGGAAUCUUGCGCAAUGCGCGACAGCGUGACGCAGCAACACCGCGUGGGGGAAGAAGGCCUUCGGGUUGUAAACCCCUUUCAGGAGGGACGAAGGCCGGCCGGUGAAUAGCCGAGUCGGUUGACGGUACCUCCACAAGAAGCCCCGGCUAACUACGUGCCAGCCGCCGCAGUAACAC